rnacentral:rRNA from 1 species
UACGAAGGGGGCUAGCGUUGCUCGGAAUCACUGGGCGUAAAGCGCACGUAGGCGGACUCUUAAGUCGGUGGUGAAAUCCUGGAGCUCAACUCCAGAACUGCCUUCGAUACUGAGAGUCUCGAGUCCGAGAGAGGUGAGUGGAACUGCGAGUGUAGAGGUGAAAUUCGUAGAUAUUCGCAAGAACACCAGUGGCGAAGGCGGCUCACUGGCUCGGUACUGACGCUGAGGUGCGAAGGCGUGGGGAGCAAACAGG